AGGGAUCUGUGUUAUCGGCGUGACAGCGACAAGUCUGAUGAUGACGUAUCAGAGGAAGACAGCGACACGUCGUUUGACUACGAGGCAGACGCCAUGUUUCAGGAAGGACGAGACAUUACUCUUGACAAGUCCAUCGAGGUUCAUGGGUGCUGACAUCCUGAUAGGGCACUACAAAGUCCUCCACAAGCCUCCUCCUGCAGUCGUGACUGCUACAAUGGCUGGCAUGUAUCCAAAAAUUUGAAAGAUGUAUAUUUGAAUAAAUUUUUAACCAUA